rnacentral:lncRNA from 1 species
CAAUUCAAAAGUGCCCUUUCACGAAAAUCUGCCCCCUUGCCUUCACAUCGUUCCGGCGUCCCUGGAUACAAUUGUAGAAGGUAAUUGAUGUAGAACAUGUGUAAGACAUUAAAUCAUACAUACAGUGAAAAAGACACUUUUUGGUUAUAGUACAUCCUGCAUGUACAUAUCGGCAGCAUUUUGCUUGCGAUAGUAACUCCUAGUCUUACUAAUAUACUGUGGCACUUCAUGGGAGUGGUAAUAGACCUUAAAACAUUAUAUAAACAUUAGGUAUAUUUUGUCCUGCAUGUUUCCCACAUUGCAUUGCAAUUUAUUGUUUAGCACUGAUAUGAUUUACUUAACCCAUUCAGUAACAUUGUGCCCUGAUGGGCCCUACUUUACUCUGUCUAAUGCCAGACUAUUUUACUCUGUUUAACACCAGACAAUUUUAUUUGUCAAGGGUAGAGUGUUGGUGUUUAAUGGGUUAAGCACUUCUAAGGUACUGUUAAUUUUGAAAAUUCUUAACAAGGUAAACUAUUAGAUCAUUUUUGUGGCAUGAAGUACAUAUUGGUGUCAGCACUAAUUUGCUUCAAAGUUAUAUCAUGCAUAGCUAGAUCAAGCAAAAUUAUAAUGAGCUUUAGCUCAUUUGUUUUAUAACAGCAUGGAAAUUCUCUAAAUUUAACCCUUUAAGUGGCAAUGUAUCCAGAUGCACCCUACUUUAUUAUUUUACUCUGUCUAUUACAGUAAUGCCAGAUGAUUUUACUUGUAGCACUGUGCACAAUACUAGUACCUUCAUAAGAAAUGUUCAAUAUGUCUACAGACUACAAUAGUUCUCGCUUGUACUAUUGUUCUCAUAACAUGUUCAAGAUCACUUUUUCUUGAUUGUUUUUUUGUUCUUCUUUUUGGGCAAUGACUCCUCACUGACAUUACACAUUUACACCACUUGCGUCGCUUUAAUACCAGAAUGCCGUCCAGAAUUGAAACAUUUCCUUGAAUUAAUUGUCAGCUGCUGUUGGGUUUUACAGUAAAAUAUCAUUCCUUCUCCCUUGUGCUCGCUGAUAUUAAACCGAAAUACUCUUAAACAUCAUCCUGGUAGAACCGUUCUGUGAGCACAAACUCAAAUCCUUCGCUCAACAAAAACCUUGUCAGGGCAACAACUGAAUUUACAGUCUCUUUAAUUGAUAGUCCAGUAAAGGUUUGGGCAAUCUUAUUACUGCCUGGUUUUGCCUGGUAGAUAUAAGUUGUUCUCGCGUUAUUGCCUCUUUCGCACAGUUUUAACUCAUUGCUUACGAAAAAAAUAAGAAUACACGUACGACAAUCAAUGUAUUUCAAUCUUGGGAUGUUUCUCGAAAACAUGCAGCUCGCCUUUAUAUCGAUCUAGCGACAUUAGGGACGUAAACCUUUGUCCAUAUGUCGAUUCUUUGUAAUUAUGUUUCCUAACCCAAGCCUCUCGAGCUCUAGUUGAUAAUUCGUCUUUGCCAGACGGAAUUCGAAAGAUUCCGAACCCAACAUGCUUUCUGCUUGUUCCACAACCAAAUAUUGAGC